rnacentral:rRNA from 1 species
CGUGCCAGCAGCCGCGGUAAUACGUAGNUCCCGAGCGUUGUCCGGAUUUAUUGGGCGUAAAGGGAGCGCAGGCGGUCAGGAAAGUCUGGAGUAAAAGGCUAUGGCUCAACCAUAGUGUGCUCUGGAAACUNUCUGACUUGAGUGCAGAAGGGGAGAGUGGAAUUCCAUGUGUAGCGGUGAAAUGCGUAGAUAUAUGGAGGAACACCAGUGGCGAAAGCGGCUCUCUGGUCUGUCACUGACGCUGAGGCUCGAAAGCGUGGGUAGCGAACAGGAUUAGAUACCCUGGUAGUCCACGCCGUAAACGAUGAGUGCUAGGUGUUAGGCCCUNUCCGGGGCUUAGUGCCGGAGCUAACGCAAUAAGCACUCCGCCUGGGGAGUACGACCGCAAGGUUGAAACUCAAAGGAAUUGACGGGGGCCCGCACAAGCGGUGGAGCAUGUGGUUUAAUUCGAAGCAACGCGAAGAACCUUACCAGGUCUUGACAUCCCGAUGCUAUUCUUAGAGAUAGGAAGUUACUUCGGUACAUCGGAGACAGGUGGUGCAUGGUUGUCGUCAGCUCGUGUCGUGAGAUGUUGGGUUAAGUCCCGCAACGAGCGCAACCCUUAUUGUUAGUUGCCAUCAUUAAGUUGGGCACUCUAGCGAGACUGCCGGUAAUAAACCGGAGGAAGGUGGGGAUGACGUCAAAUCAUCAUGCCCCUUAUGACCUGGGCUACACACGUGCUACAAUGGUCGGUACAACGAGUUGCGAGCCGGUGACGGCAAGCUAAUCUCUGAAAGCCGAUCUCAGUUCGGAUUGGAGGCUGCAACUCGCCUCCAUGAAGUCGGAAUCGCUAGUAAUCGCGGAUCAGCACGCCACGGUGAAUACGUUCCCGGGCCUUGUACACACCGCCCGUCACACCACGAGAGUUUGUAACACCCGAAGUCGGUGAGGUANCCUUUUAGGG